GCCCCUAUAGCUCAGCUGGUAGAGCAGUCGCCUCUUAAGCGAACGGUCCCAGGUUCGAAUCCUGGUGGGGGCA
rfam:Parcubacteria (Jorgensenbacteria) bacterium GW2011_GWA2_45_13 TW92_C0022, whole genome shotgun sequence.